rnacentral:rRNA from 1 species
GACGAACGCUGGCGGCGUGCUUAACACAUGCAAGUCGAACGGUAAGGCCCUUCGGGGUACACGAGUGGCGAACGGGUGAGUAACACGUGGGUGAUCUGCCCUGCACUUCGGGAUAAGCCUGGGAAACUGGGUCUAAUACCGGAUAGGACUCCGGACUGCAUGGUCUGGGGUGGAAAGCGUUGGCGGUGGGGGAUGGGCCCGCGGCCUAUCAGCUUGUUGGUGGGGUGAGGGCCUACCAAGGCGACGACGGGUAGCCGGCCUGAGAGGGUGACCGGCCACACUGGGACUGAGAUACGGCCCAGACUCCUACGGGAGGCAGCAGUGGGGAAUAUUGCACAAUGGGCGCAAGCCUGAUGCAGCGACGCCGCGUGAGGGAUGACGGCCUUCGGGUUGUAAACCUCUUUCAGCAUCGACGAAGCGAAAGUGACGGUAGGUGCAGAAGAAGGACCGGCCAACUACGUGCCAGCCGCCGCCGUAA